CGCCGAUGAUAGUGCGGAUUACCCGUGUGAAAGUAGGUAAUUGCCAGGC
rnacentral:rRNA from 1 species